GACGAACGCUGGCGGCGUGCUUAACACAUGCAAGUCGAACGGAAAGGCCCUGCUUUUGUGGGGUGCUCGAGUGGCGAACGGGUGAGUAACACGUGAGUAACCUGCCCUUGACUUUGGGAUAACUUCAGGAAACUGGGGCUAAUACCGGAUAGGAGCUCCUGCUGCAUGGUGGGGGUUGGAAAGUUUCGGCGGUUGGGGAUGGACUCGCGGCUUAUCAGCUUGUUGGUGGGGUAGUGGCUUACCAAGGCUUUGACGGGUAGCCGGCCUGAGAGGGUGACCGGCAAAAGGGGGACGUAGAUCGGACCGAGCCGCCAGCGGGGGGAAGCGGGGGGAAGUAUGGCACAAUGGCGGGAGGCCUGAGCCAGCAGGCCCGGGUGCGGAAUGAGGGCCUUCGGUUUGUAAACCACUUUCGCCUGUAAGGAAGGGGGAGGGAGGGUAAUGGGUAAAGAAGCCCGGGCUAAUUACGUG
rnacentral:rRNA from 1 species